AAACACUGCCUUUGAACCUGAUGAGUCUUGUUUGUAGCUUCAUGGGCCAAGUAACAGCGCUCAUGCACUGCUAGAGCAUAAGCACUUGUUUUAACUGGGGCUCUUCAGCUCUCAACUGAAUUGCCUUUUUAAAGAUAAGGUUACUCC